GGCCAAGAUUUUUCGACGCAAAAGCGAAAGCUAUUUGUUGGGCUAAGGCGGAUGUUGUCCCUGGCCGACAUCCCGAUCGCUGGCGUAAGGAUGCCGCUGGUAAUGUCGUCUGUAAGCGCUUCUGCAACUGCCAGGGCUGCCUUUGCUUUGAAUACGAUCACAUUGUCCCCUACUCCAAAGGCGGCGAAUCCACGGCGGAUAAUUGCCAGAUUCUUCAGACUAGAGUAAACAGAUUCAAAUCGGACAAAAACGAUGUUGAUACGUCUGAGUUAAAAGGCUAUUCAUGUGACGUCAAGUUUACUGAUAAGGAGCUUGACGUA
rnacentral:misc_RNA from 1 species